AUUUCUUGAGCCUUUUCAACCUAGACUACACAUCAAGUUAUUUAAGACAAAA
rnacentral:misc_RNA from 1 species